UACGAAGGGGGCUAGCGUUGUUCGGAUUUACUGGGCGUAAAGCGCACGUAGGCGGAUAUUUAAGUCAGGGGUGAAAUCCCGGGGCUCAACCCCGGAACUGCCUCUGAUACUGGAUAUCUCGAGUCCGGAAGAGGUGAGUGGAAUUCCGAGUGUAGAGGUGAAAUUCGUAGAUAUUCGGAGGAACACCAGUGGCGAAGGCGGCUCACUGGUCCGGUACUGACGCUGAGACGCGAAAGCGUGGGGAGCAAACAGG
rnacentral:rRNA from 1 species